rnacentral:rRNA from 1 species
UCGAGAAUCUUCGGCAAUGGGCGAAAGCCUGACCGAGCGACGCCGCGUGGAGGAAGAAGGCCCUUGGGUUGUAAACUCCUGUUGAGAGGGAGGAAAUUUGACCGAUCUCUUGAGGAAGCACAGGCUAAGUUCGUGCCAGCAGCCGCGGUAAGACGAACUGUGCAAACGUUAUUCGGAAUCAUUGGGCUUAAAGGGCGCGUAGGCGGCUUAGUAAGUUGAUGGUGAAAUCCUAACGGCUCAACCGUAGAACUGCCUUCAAUACUGCUAAGCUCGAGUGAGGUAGGGGCAUCUGGAACUUCUAGUGGAGCGGUGAAAUGUGUUGAUAUUAGAAGGAACGCCGGUGGCGAAAGCGAGAUGCUGGCCCUCAACUGACGCUGAGGCGCGAAAGCUAGGGUAGCGAACGGGAUUAGAUACCCCCGUAGUCC